CCCUAGGGGCCUAUGUUUCUUUGCCGUCCACUCCCAAAUUGCUUGGAAACUGGAUUAAGGUAGUAAUCACUUAGACCAACAUACAAAGAUCUCCCACAACUAUGUAUAUUGAAGGUUUUGUUUGUUAGCACCAAAAAUACUAAACCACGGACGCGAAAGAAAAAAAAAGAGAGGGAAAAAUUGGAAUUUAGAUAAUUAAUGACAGUUUUGCAAUUUAUAAUUUGAUUAAUUUUAUUUUACAAUUAUGGAAAUUUACUAAUCAGAAUAUAAAUCCUUUUAAAAAUAGCUAACAAAUAUUACUAAUUAAUUAUAAGGUGGAGCAAAAUGGAGAAGGCCCAGGGCUAAGAUGCUCACAUGGCAUAGCUCAAGUAGGCAACAAGAUUUACUCUUUUGGUGGUGAGCUCAUACCAAAUCAGCCCAUCGAUAAACACCUUUACGUCUUUGACCUCGAGACCCGGACUUGGUCCAUUGCUCCAGCCACCGGAGACGUUCCACACCUCUCUUGCUUAGGUGUCCGUAUGGUGUCAGUAGGAUCGACCCUCUAUACCUUUGGAGGCCGAGACUUUUCACGCCAAUACAACGGUUUCUACUCGUUUGACACGACAACAAACGAGUGGAAACUGCUAACUCCGGUGGAAGAAGGACCCACUCCUCGUAGUUUCCAUUCGAUGGCAGCGGAUGAGGAAAACGUUUACGUUUUCGGUGGAGUGGGUGCUAUGGAUCGAAUCAAGACACUAGACUCUUACAAUAUCGUUGACAAGACGUGGUUUCAUUGUUCGAAUCCAGGAGAUUCCUUUAGCAUAAGAGGAGGAGCAGGGCUCGAAGUGGUGCAAGGGAAAGUAUGGAUUGUGUAUGGAUUUAACGGAUGUGAAGUAGAUGAUGUUCAUUUCUACGAUCCUGCUGAAGACAAAUGGACACAAGUGGAAACAUUCGGUGUGAAGCCUAACGAAAGGAGUGUUUUCGCUAGUGCGGCUAUUGGGAAACACAUUGUGAUAUUUGGAGGUGAGAUUGCGAUGGAUCCACGAGCUCACGUAGGUCCGGGUCAAUUAAUCGAUGGGACUUUCGCGUUGGAUACAGAGACGUUGCAAUGGGAGAGGUUAGAUAAGUUUGAGGGGACUCCGAGUAGCAGAGGAUGGACCGCGUCCACGACUGGAACCAUUGAUGGUAAGAAAGGACUUGUGAUGCAUGGUGGUAAAGCUCCAACCAAUGACCGGUUUGAUGACCUCUUCUUUUACGGAAUUGACUCUGUCUGAUUAAGCGCGAUUUGAUCAUGACCGUUUGUGUUUUAUUUGUUUGUGUGUCUGUGUGUCUGUGUGAUGCAAUAAGGGAGGGAUCGUGAUACCUCUAUAUGAUCCUUCGUCAGCUUAUCCAUUUUAUUUUUUAUUUUCUAAAUGUAUCUUUUUGUUUUUUGUUUUCUGUUUUGUAUGUUUAAUGUUUCGUGGCUUGUUCAAUAAGAUGUUUAUUUUCCGAAUUUUUUUUGGGUAUGUUACGUUAUACUACAAACAAAAAUAUUAUGAUUUUGAUUUUCUCUAAAGAUGAAAUGAAUAGAACAAGAAGUCAGCAGAUAGGGUGGUUUCAUCUACUUUUGUGGUUGGUAAAUGUGGUUAGAAAAAUUUGCAUUGAAUUGUAAGUUUCUAUCCAUAAAAGAAACAAAAAAUUAAUGUAAUCAAGAGUGGAAAGUUACCAAUGGAUUAUAAAAAUCUUGCAAUUCUAAUAAAUCCUCAUGUCAACGGUACAGAUAAGAUAAGGGUAAGGGGCAAACAAUCUUGUUGGUUCAAAUGGCAAGUAAACAAGGGCAAUUAUAUCCACCUAAUCCAUUGCGUUUUCUUUCUCUAAUCUUAGAAUCUACUUUAAUUGUAUGUUUUUCUCUUUCAUCUACUUUCCAAAACUAUAUAACCUCAUUUCUAUACUUUUUAUGCAUUUAUUUUGAAACCCCUUUAUCAAAAAAAAAAAAGGGGCCAAUUUUUCUUCAAAAAUGGUUACUUUAAGAUUCUCAUAUACAGUGUGCCAAAAAAAAAAAAGGUACCUAAAAUAUUUAUUAUUUCAGAUAUUGGUCAACAUAUUAUCUGUAACAGAAAAAUGUUCACGUGAUAUUUGCGAAUCACAUUUUUCUAGGGGCAAAAGUGAUAUAUGAGAAUCUUAAAGUAACCUUUUCUAGAAUAAUUGCCCUUGUUUACUUGCCACUGUAGUCAUUUAUUUAAUUUAUGUUCAAAAACAGAUUACCUACCUAAUUCACCGAAACGAAAAAUUUUGUUGCCAGUUUUUGUUUUUUUUAAUUUUUUUUUUCCUCUUUUUAGUUUACCUUCUCUUUUUUCUGUUCAACAUUAAACUAGAAGGUAGAGUAAUAAAUAACGAUGGAUGGAUGUGUUGAAAACGCGCUUUAUGCAUGAUUCAUACGAGAGCAGCUGAGGAGGAGACAAAAAACGGGUCUACACUAUAUCAGACUUUUUUUUGUUUUUUUGGUGUAAAACUAUAUCAGAUGGAAAAAUAUCAACCAAAUAAUGUAGAAACUAUAUCAAACUUUUAACAAAACUAUCAACCCAAUAUUUUAUAUUUUAUUAAAAAACAAUACUAAUAAUUUUUCCUUUUCCUCGUUUUUUUUUUUCUGAUCAACCAUUCACACGUUGUUUUUCGUAAUUAUGAUUCUGCAUAAUGCUUUCUCUAAAUCAAAAACUCCACGCCACGGUUCAACUGAUGUAGUGCCUCCACCGUUGUCGUUUGACUCGUUGCAGAGGACACCAUUAUGCACUUCGAUUCAUUUUCAAAAUCGUCUUUCUCUACUGAAUUGUUACUCCAUUUAAUUUUUUGGUCCAUAGAUAACAUAGACCAUUAUACUAGUAUGUUAAAUGUAUACUUAUCAGUUACCGCACAACAUUAAUUCUUAAAGAGGGUUCAUUUUCGAGAAUUGAGUACAACACUACCAUUAGGCCAAAAUGCGAGAGGCAAAAAAAGAUAUAGCAUAUACUUAUCAUGAAUAAUGAAAAUCUUUUCCAUCCAAAUAAAAAUCUUUCUUCUCAUAAAAGAAAGAAGAGAAAAAACAAUGAGUUUGCAUAUCUUUAUCCUGUAGAAUGAUAAUCUUCCCCAUCAACUACUGUAGAUCGUCAACGUGUACUCACUUCCAUUAUCGAUCGAAUCAUCAAUUUAAUGCCUCGUGAAUCACGAGAUCAUAUAAUAUGACAAGAAAUUCGUCCCGUUUAUCUACUGCUGGUCAAUAAAUACUCAUGCAAUUCCCACCAAUAGAUCACUCAACCAAUUUCUUCUCAGGUUCUCUCUUCACACCUCUCCCCUUCUCUAUGAUUAUAGAUAGUAUAUGAUUUGGUUAAAUUAUCUAUAUUUCUUUUUUGAUAAAGGAUUUGGUUAAAUUUUUAAUUGCAGGUAAUACUCGUAAGAUUUAUCAACACAAGCAAAAAAGAUGGCCCAAAAGCUAGAAGCAAAGGGUGGUGAGAUGGGAGAUGUAUGGGAUGAUGGUGUUUACGAAAAUGUUAGAAAGGUAUAUGUAGGGCAAGCACAAUACGGUAUAGCCUUCGUCAAGUUUGAGUAUGUCAAUGGUUCUCAAGUGGUUGUUGGAGAUGAACAUGGAAAGAAGACAGAGCUAGGAGUUGAAGAGGUACUAAAAUAGAUUUUUUUUUUUUUUUUUUUUUUUUUUUUUUUUUAGUCAAAAGGUACUAAAAUAGAUUUAUAUGUUGUGAUUGAUCAAGAGGUAGGGUCUUUUUUUUUUUUGUUGCUUUCCGCAUUGAAAAUUGCUUGGUUUCUUUGCAGUUUGAGAUUGAUGCGGAUGACUACAUCGUAUACGUGGAAGGUUACCGUGAGAAAGUUAACGAUAUGACGUCAGAAAUGAUCACGUUUCUUUCUAUUAAGACUUUUAAAGGCAAAACCUCUCAUCCUAUCGAAAAAAGACCUGGGGUUAAGUUUGUGCUACAUGGUGGAAAAAUCGUUGGGUUUCACGGACGUUCAACAGAUGUUUUACACUCCCUUGGGGCCUAUGUUUCUUUGUCAUCCACUAUCAAAUUGCUUGGGAAGUGGAUUAAGGUAAUAAUCUCUUAGACCAAUCCAAAAACAAAAAUAAAAAAUUAUCUCACAUAAAUAUGUUGUUAUUGUUACCACCGCAAAAUCACUAAAUCACUUACGAGAAAGAAAAAAUGAAGAAGAAAAGAGGGUUGAAUUUGGAAUUCAGAUAAUGACACUUUUAAAAUUUAUAAUUUUAUUAAAUUUAUCUUAUGGGAGUUCAUUAAUCAGAUAAAUAAUUUCUUUAAAAAUAACUAAAAAAUAUUACUCAUAGGUGGAGCAAAAAGGAGAAGGUCCAGGGCUAAGAUGCUCACAUGGCAUAGCACAAGUAGGCAACAAGAUUUACUCCUUUGGUGGCGAGUUCACACCAAAUCAGCCCAUCGACAAACACCUUUACGUCUUUGACCUCGAGACCCGGACUUGGUCCAUUUCUCCAGCCACCGGAGACGUUCCACACCUCUCUUGUUUAGGUGUCCGGAUGGUGUCAGUAGGAUCGACCCUCUAUGUCUUUGGAGGCCGAGACGCUUCACGCCAAUACAACGGUUUCUACUCGUUUGACACGACCACUAACGAGUGGAAACUGCUAACUCCGGUCGAAGAAGGACCCACUCCUCGUAGUUUCCACUCAAUGGCAGCCGAUGAGGAAAACGUUUACGUUUUCGGUGGAGUGAGUGCUACGGCACGACUCAAUACACUAGACUCUUACAACAUCGUUGAUAAGAAGUGGUUUCAUUGUUCGACUCCAGGAGAUUCCCUUACCGCAAGAGGAGGAGCAGGGCUCGAAGUGGUGCAAGGGAAGGUAUGGGUUGUGUAUGGGUUUAACGGAUGUGAAGUAGAUGAUGUUCAUUACUACGAUCCUGUUCAAGACAAGUGGACACAAGUGGAAACAUUCGGUGUGAGGCCUUCCGAAAGAAGUGUAUUCGCUAGUGCGGCUAUUGGGAAACACAUUGUGAUUUUUGGAGGUGAAAUUGCGAUGGACCCGCUAGCUCACGUGGGUCCAGGUCAAUUGACCGAUGGAACUUUUGCAUUGGACACAGAGACGUUGCAAUGGGAGAGGCUGGAUAAGUUUGGUGGAGAGGAAGAGACUCCGAGUAGCAGAGGAUGGACCGCGUCCACGACUGCUACCAUUGAUGGUAAGAAAGGACUUGUGAUGCAUGGUGGUAAAGCUCCAACCAAUGACCGGUUUGAUGAUCUCUUCUUUUACGGGAUUGACUCUGCCUAAUUAAGGCAGAUUUGGUGAUCAUGAACGUUUGUGAAUGUGUGUGUGUGUGUGUGGGUCUGUGUUUGUGUGUGUAAUAAGGGAGGGGUAUACCACCAUAUGAUCCUUCCCCAGCUUGACCAUUGUUUUUUUUUUAAUAUGUUUUUCUUUCUACAUGUUUGUUUCACGUUUCAUGUUGUAUCCAAUAAAUUGUGUACUUUCCUAGUAGUAAUCGCCAGAAAAAAAAAAAAAAAAAAAAAACCUAGUAGGUAGAGUCAUAGCUUACAAUUAAAUAAAUAACGAUGGAUGUGUUGAAAACGCGUUUAUGCAUGAUUCAUGAAUUGUAUAUACGAGAGCAGCCGAGGAGGAGAUAAAGAGAGGGGUCUACAAUGAUCAAUACUAACUUAAUUUUGUAGUGUUGUCAGUCAAUAAUGUAUACCUAUCAAAAUGGGGCCUAUAUUCCAUCACUAGUGAGUUCGUCAGUCAAUAAUGUAUUUUCCGACACUUAAAAAACGUUCCAAAUCAUAAUACUUAUAAUUAUAACCAGAUAAGUUUUACUGAAUCCCAGACUAAUUCUCAAACUUUGCUAUCAUGUUAUUAACAAACAUUACAAUGUAGAGAAAUAUGGAUGCCCUAGUUUCAACUAACACGAUGAAUCAUGUCAAUCACUGUAUAAAUAGUUAAUAAGUUGUGACUUUUUUUUUUGUCGGCUAAUAAGUUGUGACUUUAGGCACCGUCAAUAUUCAACUGUAAUUAUAAUCGUAUAUAAUAAGUGAUUAUAUCUGUCAAAUAUCAUAUAUAACAAAUAAUAUAAUUGUAUGUAUAUAUAUUAUCUCUAUCAACUAUAAUCAUAUACAGAAAGAAAAAAAACAAGUGUUACAUCACGCUUAGCUUAAAAGUUUCGACUUUUUGCACCGUCAUAUUUCACGUGUAAGCAAGAAAUACAAAUGUAAAUAGAUUAUAAUUAAUGAAUUCUCUCGACUCUCUCAACAUAGUAUAUAAAAGGAAAUCUACACAUGAACCGUAUCUUUCUCACUUUUGAAAUAUUUUGAUGUUUUAAAGAAAUUUUUUCAAAAUUUUAUAUAAAUUAUAAAUUAAUUUAAUAUUUUUUGAUUAUUUAUAUUUUUCAUCAGUCUUGUUCAUAAUUGGUUGAAUUGUUUUAAAGUAAAUAUUUCUUUAGCUAAAACAUCUUAUACAAUUAAAAGAAAAAAGUGUAAUCAAAUAACCAAAUAUAAAUUAGUAUUUCAAAUUAUACUUAUUGCAGGGUGAUAAACCUUUUGUCCCAAGUGAAGUUAAACCUAUAAAUAUAUACCCCAUUUAGAGGGUCCUAUAUAACUAAAGUACCACAUAUUUGGUGGUUUAUAUCAUUCAAUUUUUUUGUAACUAACUUAAUAUUUGAUAUGUAAAAUCAUGUUAAAAUAGGAUCAGCAGAUAGAAUAUAUAAAAAAUAAGUCAUGUACAAACGUAACGUUCUUCAUAUCUUAGGUAACGUAUCUAACAAUUUUGUUAAAUAUUAUUAUUUUAAAAAAUUGAACAUAUUAUUUGGAAACUUUUCUUUUGAUAAUUUUGAAAUGGCACUUUGUAAUUAAGAGUUUAAUAAAGAACACGUCACACACAAAAACGAAGAAAGAGAUUAUAGAAAUUAAGUUGUGUUUUCAAUCUUCGUGUAUACAAAACAAAAAUAAAAAUUAGAAAUGAUAUUUCAUACGAUGUUGUUAAAUAAUAUAAUUAUGAAAAUUAGUUGUGCUUUAUAUUAUUAUUUUUGUUGGAAGCUCUAGAAACGAUCGACCUAAUAGUAUAUUUUUGUCACUAAAAAGUGUGAUUAAAAUAUAUAUAUAUAUAUAUAUAUAUAUAUAUAUAUAUAUAAUAUUGUAAUUUUCAACCAAUUCUCGGUUUAGGUGGUUUAUUAUUAUAUUGUUUUUUGAAAAAAUUAAAAAAUAUAUCCUUAUUAGUUCAUUCUUUUCUGGUCAUUCGUUCACACUUUACAACUUGGUUAAUGGCCACUUCUCAAGUUAUCGUUCUUUCAUUUGUUCUACAGUCGCAAGAAAUUAUCGUUCUUUCAUUUGUCAUUAUGCAUAAUGAUUUCUCUUUUCUUUUUAGUGCAUAAUGAUCUCACUACAUAAAAAAAUCUAUCUUACGAUUCAACUAUAUUUAGUCCCAUGCACUCGCUGCAUAACACAUUACUUUCUUCGAUUUAGAGUGAUUUUCACAACCUUGUUUCUGUAUUGUAUAUUUAGUUAGUGUUUGUGAUUACCAAAAAAAAAAAUUGUUUCUUCUUGGCUUAGUCUUUUUAUCUUUUUUUUUUUUUUUGCUUCAUCUAUUUUUCCUCCCAUGACAGAUGAAGACGGCAAGAGAUGCAGCAAAUCUCAUUUAUGAUCUAUCUGAAGAAUCAGCGUCAUCGAUUUGGAGACUCGAACCAUAACAAAAAGAGCAUCACAGUUUCAAUUUAAUUGCUCCUGGCGCUUCCUAUUUCAGCAACAAACAUUAAAUAAUUAAUCCAAUAGAGAUGAUAUAUAUGGAAAUUUCAAAACCAAAAAAAGAAACUUUCAAAACCAAAAUUGCGAAGCCAUAGAAAUCGUGGAUCAUGGAAUUGCGAAGACCAAUGUUGACAUAUGGGAAUUUGGUGUCCCAAUGAGCAGAGAUCACUAAGAUUGGUUUUCGGGAGGAACUUUUUGAGUUCAUGAUUUGAAGAAUUGUCUCGCCUAUAAGCUAUCGUCCAUAGUUUGAGAUUCAUGCGACAAGAAGAAGGUUUGAUUCACUUUCUCCAUUUAAUUGAAUCAUCUUCAUAGAUAUAUUUUCAUACUUAAUCAAUGUUUUUACCAAAAAAAUAAUGUUAUUUUAUUAUUUUGGUUUUAUGUGGUUUGGGAUUGGUGUAGAUUAUAAACCGAUUAAACCAAUGUUUUUGUGUUCUGAGAUUUCAAACUUUUGAACUAAAUAAAUAUACGUUUUGGGGAAUAUCCAAUAUCAAUAUGUAUCAUAGUUUGGACUCUAUCUAUUCCAGUAUGAUAAUUCCCGUGGAAAAAUAUAUCAUCGUCUCUAUUUUAUACAUGCACUUGCAACACAAACCAGCCAUAAAGUGGGUCUAUUCUUAUAAUUUAUGACAACAUGGAACACUAUCAUUGGGCCACGAUGCAAGGAGCGAAGGACGAUGCGAGAAGGUGCUUUACUGAUUUGAUGAACGUGGAGGUGAUUCUGAAUGAUACGAGAUCUCUAAGCUGAAUAUAUAAUAGUAUAGUUUUUCGUAAUUUUUUUUUGUUAAAUUUUUUAUCGCUGCUAAAGAUUAAAUGGCGAGUAAAACUAUACUAUUAUACUUUCAAAGAUCACCCGAGAAAAUGAUGACUGCACAUACUUUCAAUAUCCCAUAGAUGACAUAUCUGUUUUAUUUCCAUCAAGCUAUUCAUCGAAACAAAAGCACAUGACGAUUAUGGGAGAGAAACACUACUCUAAAAUCCCGUAAUAAGCUGCACCACCUAAUUUUUUGUGCCUUGACCAAAAAAAAUUCAAUGUUGCAGUUCAACGAACCUUCUUACGGAGGAUCUUUAAACAAAAUUUAUUUGGUACAUAGAGAAAAAUAUUUUAAUAUAUACUAAUUUAAUGCCUCGCGAUCAACGAGUAGAGAAAAAAUAUGUCGCGUGUAUCUUCUUCCAUUGGUCAAUAAAUACCAAUGCAAUGUUUACUACACAAAUCAUUACUUCAGUCUCACUCUCAGGUCAGCUCUCUCCACAUCUCUCUCAUAUGAUUGUACUAUGUAUAAGAUUUGGUAAUAUUUGUAAUUACAAGUAAAAUUCGUAAAUACAGAUAAUAUUCGUAAGAGGUUGAUCAAACGAAAGCAAAAGAGAUGGCCCAAAAGGUUGAAGCACAAGGAGGAAAUGGCGGUAACCAAUGGGAUGAUGGAUCCGAAUACGACGCUGUGACCAAGAUUCAAGUCGCAGCAGGCGGGAACGGAAUUGAAUAUGUUAAGUUCACAUACGUCAAGAACGGACAAACCGAAGAAGCCCCUCUACGCGGUGUCAAGGGCCGUAGUUUCGAAGCAGAUCCGGUUCCUAUACACUAUCCUUGCCUAUCUCUUCAUUUUUAUCUAUAAGGACAUUGACGUGAAUUAAUAUAUAUAUAUAUAUAGGUUAUAUAUUGUCAAGGGUUUGUUUUGAUAAUGUUCUUUUUAAGAAAUUGACAUUUUGAUCUUGAUCUCUACAGUUUGUGAUAAACCAUCCGGAGGAGCACUUAGUUUCUGUAGAAGGUCGGUAUAACCCUGAAGGACUUAUUCUAGGGCUAACGUUCAAAUCCAACAAGAAGACUUCUGAUCUCAUUGGAUAUGAAGAUGGUACACCGUUCACUCUCCAAGUUCAAGACAAGAAGAUCGUUGGAUUUUAUGGCUUCGCUGGAAACAAUCUCCAUUCUCUUGGAGCGUACUUUGCUCCGUUGACUAAUGUAACCCCCUUGAAUGCCAAAAAGCUAGAAGCAAAGGGUGGUGACACGGGAGAUAUAUGGGAUGAUGGUGUUUACGAUAAUGUUAGAAAGGUAUAUGUAGGGCAAGCCCAAUAUGGUAUAGCCUUCGUCAAGUUUGAGUAUGUCAAUGGUUCUCAAGUGGUUGUUGGAGAUGAACAUGGAAAGAAGACAGAGCUAGGAGUUGAAGAGGUACAAAAAUAGAUAAUUCUAUGUUGUGAUUCGUCAAAAGGAUAUAUAUAUAUAUAUAUUUAUAUGGGUAACCUCACUCAAAAUUAUUUGGUUUCUUUGCAGUUUGAGAUUGAUGCGGAUGACUACAUCGUAUACGUGGAAGGAUACCGUGAGAAAGUUAAUGGUAUGACCUCAGAGAUGAUCACUUUUCUUUCAUUCAAGACUUAUAAAGGCAAAACCUCUCAGCCUAUCGAACAAAGACCUGGUAUUAAGUUUGUGCUACAAGGUGGAAAAAUUGUUGGGUUUCACGGACGUUCGACCGACGUUCUAGACUCCCUCGGGGCUUAUAUUUCAUUGUCGCCCACUCCAAACUUGCAUGGAAAGUGGACAAAGGUAGUAAUCUUUUAUAUAUCACCAUGGGAGCUAGUUCACUAAGCAGACUCUAUAUUAUAAAAAAUCCUAACUAACAAGUAUUAUUAAUUAAUUAUAAGGUGGAUGAAAAUGGAGAUGGUCCAGGGCUAAGAUGCUCGCAUGACAUAGCACAGGUAGGAAACAAGAUUUACUCUUUUGGUGGUGAGUUCACACCAAAUCAGCCCAUCGACAAACACCUUUACGUCUUUGACAUCGAGAGCCGGACUUGGUCCAUUUCUCCAGCCACGGGAGACAUUCCAACCCUCUCUUGCCUAGGUGUCUGUAUGGUGUCAAUAGGAUCGACCCUCUAUGUCUUUGGAGGCCGAGACGCUUCACGUCAAUACAACGGUUUCUACUCGUUUGACACGACCACAAACGAGUGGAAACUGCUAACUCCGGUCGAAGAAGGACCCACUCCUCGUAGUUUCCACUCAAUGGCAG
rnacentral:lncRNA from 1 species